UUCACUCUUAUGUCUAUUUGAUUUAGUUCUAAGCUACUAAGACUAGAAAGGGGUUAGGAACUAACAGAGCUUGUAAAAAGGGACUAUUAAAAAAAAGGGAAAAAAAGGAUCGCAAGAGGCAUAUGAAGGCCCCUGGAACAGGAAACACGGGGAACAUUUCAGCAAAAUGAACAAGGAGCAUGAAAGAGUAAUUGCAGUAAUCAGUUUAUGAAAGGAAAACCAUCCCCAUAUAUCAUUUUUCCAAACGCUACAAAGAAGCAAUGAGACUGAAAAGCAAUUCAAUCAAACCUGAAAACACUCAUAGAACAUACAGUUGACUUUAACGUCACUGCCACACUCGGUACACACUUAGAUUCACCUAAAGACAGAACUAAGUAUUAUAAGGCAAAAACCUACAUUCUCUGCAGAAUUCACAUAUAAAGUUUAAGAAGCAUCCCACUGUGGAGUCCUUCUGUAGGUAGAUUGUAAACAACUGGUACUUCUCACCAACUUCCUAAGGAAAGCUUAUAUUCUUAGAAGACAGUCAUGGGUCGGUGCUCUUCAGGGUAAUGCAUGACCAUUCCGGAUUGCUCUGAAUCACUGCCUUCCAAGCUGGAUCAAGCAGAAGUGUCACUGCCCAAUUUUUAGUUAAUGCAGAUACAAAAACCACAGCUGAUUAAUUCAAAUAUAGCUGUCAAUUCAGAUAACUAUAGAAAUAAGAUUUCAAGAGUGGUGGGAAAAUAGCACAUGCCUCUUGGGUCUGAGCAAGACUGGUAUUCAUUCACAGAUAUACCAGUGCAGUCUCCAGGCAGUGGUAUGAUUUACACCAAAGCAAGUCAGACAGCACUGGUGUCUACUUAACCUACACUAGAGUUACAUACAGAGGGACCAGGAAACAGCUCCAUCUUGAAGUUUUCAUUAAAGCUAUGAACAGACUUACUUAUCACAGAAACAAGUAAAUCAGAGUUCAUUAGACACUGUUCAUAUCUAACUGGCCUCUGCAGUCACAGAAGUUUUCUUUUUAGGCCAAAUAAAUACCAAGACAAACAAAUUAAUUAUUCACUCUAUUUCACCUUGCUAAAGCAACACCAGGACUACCACCCAAGGAUAAAUUCAGUACUCCAUCAUGACAUAAUACCUUUUUUAUUACAAUAUCCAAAAAACCGAGUAUGCAAGAUUUUGAGAUCUCAUGAUCUCUUCUUCAAUCUCAGGAAUGUGCCAUCUAAAGACUGUAUAUUUAAACCAUAAAGGAGUUUAAAUGUAAAGAAAAGAGAAAAACGCAUUUUCUUCAUAAACAUUCUGUGUGUCUCUUCCUACCAACCACGCCAUCCUCUGUAAAACCCGAAGAUUUCUUUCUGUAAAGCAAAUAUAUAUAUAGUGUUGGUAGCCCACCCCACCCCACCCCAAGAUCAGUUUUUAUUAAUCUUCUGUAUUAGUGUCAACAAUCAGCUACAGAUACAUAUUACUUUGAGAAUUAAAUACAUAAUCGUUUAAUUCAAACAAGCAGAAGGGCAAGAGGAAAAAGCAUUAUGUGGAUGGCACAUUUGGUUGUAGAUUACCAAAACAUUCAGCCUUUACAAUUCAAUGAUUCCUUCUCUAGUAAUCAACUUUCAAAUAAAAUUUCUCUUUGUUGCAAUUACAGACCAAAAUACACUAGAUAGUUUUCUUUACUACAAUCUUACCAUAGUAGUUUAAGAAGUACUAUUACAAAAUGCUUUUAAUUAGUGUACUCUUUACAAAGAGUCAGAGAGGCAAUGUAAUAGCAGAGUACAGUGUAAAGAGUGCUUCUAGGAACUAGGAGUUUUUGUCAUAUACUACUCGGUAAGCGAUAUAGCUACAGAACUCACAGCCACAACUGUUAUGUCUACUCUCUCUCACUUAAGUAGCUGCAGUUUCAGUGCAUUCAAACUGUGCCCGAUGUCUCUGAAUGGAGAGUUCUGCCUGCGUGAGCAAUCUGAACAGAUUAACACUGGUUUGAAUUGAAAACACCCCUCUCUGAUCUGAGCUAACUAUGUAAACGUACACAGGAGAGGGGAGUUUUGAACUCAUCCAGGAAGGUGAGUGCUCGCCAUGGCCACUCAAGGGAAACUCUCAACCUGAAGAGAGGUGGUCAGAGAUUAACAGAACUGGAACACAAAAAG